rnacentral:tRNA from 1 species
GCUGGUUUAGCUCAGAGAUGGCGGAGCAACCCACUUGUAAUGGGAAGGACGUAGGUUCGAGCCCUACAACCAGCA